GGAGUACCCGCGGCUAGACGGAAAGACCCCGUGCACCUUUACUAUAGCUUUGCAGUGGCGUUAGGAAUGACAUGUGUAGGAUAGGUGGGAGGCUUUGAAGCCCAGGCGCCAGCUUGGGUGGAGCCACCCUUGAAAUACCACCCUUGUUGUUCUUGACGUCUAACCGAGCCCCGUGAUCCGGGGCCGGGACCCUGCAUGGCGGGUAGUUUGACUGGGGCGG
rnacentral:rRNA from 1 species